rnacentral:rRNA from 1 species
GUGAGGAAUAUUGGACAAUGGGCGCAAGCCUGAUCCAGCCAUGCCGCGUGCAGGAAGACGCAUCUAUGGUGUGUAAACUGCUUUUGUACGGGAAGAAACACUCCCUCGUGAGGGAGCUUGACGGUACCGUAAGAAUAAGGAUCGGCUAACUCCGUGCCAGCAGCCGCGGUAAUACGGAGGAUCCAAGCGUUAUCCGGAAUCAUUUGGUUUAAAGGGUCCGUAGGCGGUUUAAUAAGUCAGUGGUGAAAGCCCAUCGCUCAACGAUGGAACGGCCAUUGAUACUGUUAGACUUGAAUUACAAGGAAGUAACUAGAAUAUGUAGUGUAGCGGUGAAAUGCUUAGAUAUUACAUGGAAUACCAAUUGCGAAGGCAGGUUACUACUUGUGGAUUGACGCUGAUGGACGAAAGCGUGGGGAGCGAACAGGAUUAGAAACCCGAGUAGUCC